rnacentral:rRNA from 1 species
GACGAACGCUGGCGGCGCGCCUAACACAUGCAAGUCGAACGAGCGAGAGAGAGCUUGCUUUCUCGAGCGAGUGGCGAACGGGUGAGUAACGCGUGAGGAACCUGCCUCAAAGAGGGGGACAACAGUUGGAAACGACUGCUAAUACCGCAUAAGCCCACGGCUCGGCAUCGAGCAGGGGGAAAAGGAGCAAUCCGCUUUGAGAUGGCCUCGCGUCCGAUUAGCUAGUUGGUGAGGUGACGGCCCACCAAGGCGACGAUCGGUAGCCGGACUGAGAGGUUGAACGGCCACAUUGGGACUGAGACACGGCCCAGACUCCUACGGGAGGCAGCAGUGGGGAAUAUUGCACAAUGGGGGAAACCCUGAUGCAGCGACGCCGCGUGGAGGAAGAAGGUCUUCGGAUUGUAAACUCCUGUUGUUGGGGAAGAUAAUGACGGUACCCAACAAGGAAGUGACGGCUAACUACGUG